rnacentral:lncRNA from 1 species
GAUUAUCAUUUUGUGUAAUAACACAUUUUGUAUGUUCAGAUGAAGGCUGUUUUGCUUGCUAUGAUUAUUUGGGCCAUGGGAGUUUGUAACUGUUCCACUAAUUCUGAGAUCCUACCAAAUGGUACAUAUUCAUUCUUGGUUGAUCAAGAUGCAGAUGAACUGCAUGAUCCUAGGGCUGUUGGAAUUAAUCUUGAAGUUGAGUAACCAUGCAAUCUGUUGUAUCUUUAAAUUCAUUAUUUUAAUAUUCUCUUU